rnacentral:misc_RNA from 1 species
UCUCCGUUGGUGAACCAGCGGAGGGAUCAUUACCGAGUUUACAACUCCCAAACCCCUAUGUGAACGUUACCAAACUGUUGCCUCGGCGGGAAAUUCAUGCCCCGGGCGCGUCGCAGCCCCGGACCAAGGCGCCCGCCGGAGGACCAACCAAAACUCUUUUGUAUGUCCCUCGCGGACUUUUAUAAUUCUGAACCAUCUCGGCGCCCCUAGCGGGCGUUUCGAAAAUGAAUCAAAACUUUCAACAACGGAUCUCCUGGUUCUG